AGUGAACGCUGGCGGUAUGCCUAACACAUGCAAGUCGAACGGCAGCACAGUAAGAGCUUGCUCUUACGGGUGGCGAGUGGCGGACGGGUGAGGAAUACAUCGGAAUCUACUUUUUCGUGGGGGAUCACGUAGGGAAACUUACGCUAAUACCGCAUACGACCUACGGGUGAAAGCAGGGGAUCUUCGGACCUUGCGCGAUUGAAUGAGCCGAUGUCGGAUUAGCUAGUUGGCGGGGUAAAGGCCCACCAAGGCGACGAUACGUAGCUGGUCUGAGAGGAUGGUCAGCCACACUGGAACUGAGACACGGUCCAGACUCCUACGGGAGGCAGCAGUGGGGAAUAUUGGACAAUGGGCGCAAGCCUGAUCCAGCCAUACCGCGUGGGUGAAGAAGGCCUUCGGGUUGUAAAGCCCUUUUGUUGGGAAAGAAAAGCAGCAGGUUAAUACCCCGCUGUUCUGACGGUACCCAAAGAAUAAGCACCGGCUAACUUCGUG
rnacentral:rRNA from 1 species